rnacentral:tRNA from 2 species
GGGUGUAAAUUGGGUGUAAAAAUUUUUGAAAAUGACUGAAACUUUUGUAAAUAAAAGAUUUCAUAUAGCCUUCCAAGCUAUUAAUGCGGGUUCGAUUCCCGCCGCCCGCU